rnacentral:lncRNA from 1 species
GGCGCGGCUACAUGGGGAAUGGGAGCUGUGUUACUACCUCCACCCUGGCCCGCCAGCGUCUGGACGAAGAACCGCCGCCAGACCAGUUUGUUAACAUCCCUGCAGUAACCAAAAACAUGAGCUGGAUAAGGAGGAGAAGAGGAGCUGGCCGAAUGAUUUUUAAGCAGAAGCUGAAUGUUCAAUAAGAAUAGAGUUGACACCUUCAGAGGAGAAUACUUCUCAGAAUGCUAACCCAGAAGCUACCUUUACCUAUGCUAUGUUGAAGUACAAGCCUGGUCUGCCAACCUCAGAUGUUUCAGUAUUAUCACAAAAGAACAACUUGCCUGGAAGAAAGAACUAGAAUCUGGGAAUCCUGCUGGGGAAAGAGCAGAUAUAUUGUUUUAAACUGUGAUCAGUCACACCACUCAGGCCUCAUGUUCUUCAUCUGGAAAAUGAGUUCAGUAUCUGUCCAUCAUACCUGACAGAGGAGCAAAUGAAAUAACAUCUAGAAUCUUCUUGCAUACAAAUAUAAAUGAAGAUGAAUAUAUUAGGACUCAGAGAUAUUGAGAUCUCAGGUCACUCUAUGAAAGACUCGUCUUCAAUUUGGGUCAUCUGAAUUUAUAGCCUGACCUCCUUUUAUUUAUACCACAAGCACCCAUUAUAAAAGCAGAAAAGGAAGAACUGGAGGCUGGAGUGCAAUGGCACGAUCUCAGCUCACCGCAACCUCA